rnacentral:rRNA from 1 species
UACGUAGGGUGCAAGCGUUGCCCGGAUUUAUUGGGCGUAAAGGGCGCGCAGGCGGCCCGGCGCGUCCGCGGUGAAAGCUCCCGGCUCAACUGGGAGAGGUCCGCGGAAACGGUCGGGCUGGAGCAAGGUAGGGGGUCGUGGAAUUCCCGGUGUAGUGGUGGAAUGCGUAGAGAUCGGGAGGAACACCAGUGGCGAAGGCGGCGACCUGGACCUGUGCUGACGCUGAGGCGCGAAAGCUAGGGGAGCAAACGGG